rnacentral:rRNA from 1 species
GUAGGGUGCAAGCGUUAAUCGGAAUUACUGGGCGUAAAGCGUGCGCAGGCGGUUAUGCAAGACAGAUGUGAAAUCCCCGGGCUCAACCUGGGAACUGCAUUUGUGACUGCAUGGCUAGAGUACGGUAGAGGGGGAUGGAAUUCCGCGUGUAGCAGUGAAAUGCGUAGAUAUGCGGAGGAACACCGAUGGCGAAGGCAAUCCCCUGGACCUGUACUGACGCUCAUGCACGAAAGCGUGGGGAGCAAACAGGAUUAGAUACCCUGGUAGUCCACGCCCUAAACGAUGUCAACUGGUUGUUGGGAGGGUUUCUUCUCAGUAACGUAGCUAACGCGUGAAGUUGACCGCCUGGGGAGUACGGCCGCAAGGUUG